rnacentral:tRNA from 2 species
GGGCCCGUGGUAUAGUGGUAACACAGAUCCAUGGCAUGGAUCAGUCAGGGGUUCGACUCCCCUCGGGUCCACCC